AUUGAACGCUGGCGGCAGGCUUAACACAUGCAAGUCGAGCGGUAACAGAAAGGAGCUUGCUUCUUUGCUGACGAGCGGCGGACGGGUGAGUAAUGCCUGGGAAUCUGCCUGAUAGUGGGGGAUAACUUGCCGAAAGGUAAGCUAAUACCGCAUACGUCCUACGGGAGAAAGCAGGGGAUCUUCGGACCUUGCGCUAUCAGAUGAGCCCAGGCCGGAUUAGCUAGUUGGUGGGGUAAAGGCCUACCAAGGCGACGAUCCGUAGCUGGUCUGAGAGGAUGAUCAGCCACACCGGGACUGAGACACGGCCCGGACUCCUACGGGAGGCAGCAGUGGGGAAUAUUGGACAAUGGGGGGAACCUGAUCCAGCCAUGCCGCGUGUGUGAAGAAAGUCUUCGGAUUGUAAAGCACUUUAAGUUGGGAGGAAGGGUUUCUGGUUAAUACCCGGGAAUUUUGACGUUACCAACAGAAUAAGCACCGGCUAACUUCGUGCCAGCAGCCGCGGUAAUGCGAAAGGUGCGAGCGGUUAUCGGAAUUACUGGGCGUAAA
rnacentral:rRNA from 1 species